CACAUUGGGGAAGCAGUUCACGCGGCAUUCAAGGACAAGAAAUCGACAAAGAAGGCAGAGAGACGAAGAAGAAAGCUCGAUUUUGGUGUGGCCGGUGGUUCUUUCCUUCCACCCGAAUGCUUUGAAGGUAAUUGGCGACCGAGCGACUGAGCUGAGGGGACGCCUGCUUUUGGGGGCGUUGUGGUGUCCUAUCCUCUCUUGGAGAGCCAAUUCACGCUGAAUGAGCUUCGCUCGCUCAAAUCCGAGGUAAAGAACCUGCAAAGUCUCGUUCUUUCUUUCUUUUUCUUUUUCGUAUCUUUUGGAGUAGCGACGUGAUCACCGCCAAACAGUUCAAAGAUGCUUUCAAGACUGGCUUUCAUCCAAGAACCUCUAACAGAGCAGGAGGUGGCCUCCAUUGUGAAAGAAAGGAGCAGCAGCUUGGAUAAUGAGGCCUUUCUGUCGAUAUACUUGGAGAUGCAAAAGAGCGGCGUCAAAAUCAGCCCGCAAACGAGCCCAGCGUCCCAGUUCCUGAAAAGAUCAAGUACCACAUUGAUUCACACUCAGAGGAAAAAAGCGAUCAUAUUAAUAGCCAUCUUUCCAUGGGGGACAUUCCUUCUUUCUUUCUAGGGAUGAUCUCUUUGACGCUGUUCAGGACGGUAUACUGAUCUGCAAACUGAUCAACGUACCAUCGAUGAGAGGGCUCUCAAUAUGAAAAUCUCAAUACUUGGGAAAAGGUCGAGAAUCACACACAAAGGCAAUUGGUUGCUCGAUUGUGGAACAUUGGAACCGAAGAUUUGAUCGCUGGAAGAGUUUCCAUUUUAUGCGCAAAAACUUUUUGACUGAUCUUGUUUUUGUCUAUGCAGUCUCGCUUCGUCCUGAGCAUCAGUGUUUUGUCAGAUUCAAUUCCUUUCUGGCGUCAAGAUGAAAGCGGCACCAGAGCUCGCGGAGAUGGUAAACGAUACAGAGGAUAUAGAAGGGCUUCUUCGUGUUCCAGCUCAAGAGGUUUUGUUUAAAUCGGUCAACUAACACCUGCAGAAGGCUGGAUCUCCCAGAGAAAUUACUAACUUUUCGUCAGAUCUUACGGUAGAGACCAACGAACUGGGAACACUUUAAAACUGACCAAGGAUGGGGAAACAUACACCGUACUUCUAAACGUCUUGGCUCCUGAGAGCUGCGAUUUGUCUCCGCUAGAUCUCCAAGAUCCAUACGAUAGAACAAAAGCAGUGCUUGCUCAGGGAUGGAGGCGCAAAAGCUCGAGUAAGAUGAUACAAACUACCAAAAUAGAAUCUAGUCUACACACAAGAAUAUACGCGGAUGCUCUGGGCUAGGGUUACUGGGAAUCACAGGCUCCGCCACGAUGAUCCGGCGGCGGCGGCGCGGGAAGAGCGGCAAGAGUGGCGGCGGUGGCAUUGCGGAGAGAUGGCGGCGCCGGCGAUCAUCGCUGGAUGAGAGCGAGCAGCAGCAGCAGCAGAAUUUGGAUUCCCAGGAUCGAUUCGCUUGUGCGCGUCGGAUCGGAUGAUGAAGCGAGUGGGCAGCUUUGCAAAGGAUGUGACGCCCAAUUCGUGCGUCAGUGUGUGUGGGGUCUCGGAUUUGGAUGCUUUUGCCGAGGCGUGUGCUCGAUCCGUUUGUUCUACACAGCAUCACGUCCCCAAUUGGAACGAUGUUUGUAUUCGACGAUGCCAGAGCGAGUGCCUAAGAUCAUGAGGGAGCUAUCAAUGCAGAGAAAUGAGGGCUCUUGUAAGCUUACUGUGACCCCAGCACUGCGGUCCAUUUUGUGACAAGAUCAAGACACUCCUCGGCUCCAUCAGAGUAGCGAAACUCUGGAUUUUUGCUCUUGCUCGUGACUUCCGAUCUGCGACAGGAGAUCCUGGUACGAGCUCAUGCACUCCAUGAUCUUGCCACUCCGCUUGUACCUAUAGGCAGAAAUAAAUUACAGGUACCUCACACCCAGAGCGGCUCCGCAAACUUGAAUCUUGAUCUCUGCCAUGAAAGGAAUGGUUUGACAGCCAACAACAGCCUCACUUACGCUGAAUUAAUUCAGGAUCAUGAGCAAGACUCGGAGACGAGCGGGUUUUUCGUGUGUGGAUCAAUAGCCUUGGUAUAACAAGUAUGGAGUUUCAAGGACAAGAGCUUAUCAUUCUUCUCUGGACUGUACAACCACGCGUUGUAUACUGGCGGCUCGUGAACAAACAGACAAGCAACGAACUGAAUGCUGGAUCGAUAUAAUCCUGUGAAUUCCAGAUGAAAACGCGGUCAGUGCGACCAGGAAGCUCGGCUGCAGCGUGUUCUUGCUGUGGGAUGAGGUACUUGUUUUUCCAGCUUUGUUAAUUUGCUUUCGCCAAGAUGGUGAUGAUCUUGGUAGCCACCGUGAUGCUCUGGAAUCUGGCUGAGAAGGCUAGAAAAGCUUCUAACACUGCUGCUGUCCACAACGGGUCUUCUUACAGCCACAGGGACGCGUGACGUGACGCGUCCAUAACGUCGAUUGCGCGAGCGAUCAGGUAAAGCAGAAAAAGGAGGAAAGAGAUCUCUUUGAGCAAAACAGCAGGGUUUUCGCAGUAGCUAAUUUCUGGAUUCGCAGCCAGAGACAAUCUGGCCUGCUAAAAUCCCAUUCAAGACACUGAAAGACACAUGUAUUUGUAGUAA